UACCAGCACCCCGAGUGGUCGGGACGUUUUAUUGGGCCUAAAGCAUCCGUAGCCGGUUCUACAAGUCUUCCGUUAAAUCCACCUGCUUAACAGAUGGGCUGCGGAAGAUACUAUAGAGCUAGGAGGCGGGAGAGGCAAGCGGUACUCGAUGGGUAGGGGUAAAAUCCGUUGAUCCAUUGAAGACCACCAGUGGCGAAGGCGGCUUGCCAGAACGCGCUCGACGGUGAGGGAUGAAAGCUGGGGGGAGCAACCGG
rnacentral:rRNA from 1 species